rnacentral:lncRNA from 1 species
ACAUCCUCCUUGCUGGAUCUCGCUGGCCUUCCUGCAUCUCAGCCUGCCUCACUACUAUCUGUCAUCCUCAUUCUAGCUUAAAAUGCUUCUGUGGCCUCCCGUGGACCUGAGGAUGAGGACUAACUCUGCUCUGCAUGCAGGCCCUCCUGAGUCAGGCCUUCUUCUCCAGGCUGGUCGCCCACAGUCAUUCUGCCCUCCAGCCAUCCCAAGCCAGAAGGCCUCCUUCUCAGAACUACUGAUUUCACACUUCCCUGUGUUGUACUUUCCCCACCACCCCGACUAGGCAUGCUGCUCCCUCUAUCCUUGCAAACAGAACAUGGCUGUGCAGUCGGCGAGGACAUCCUUCCAGGCUUCCUGACCACAGGCAGGAAGAGAAGUCCCCCCUGCCACUCCACACCCAGGAGAAGAGAGUGGCUGGUCCUGUCAGACUCUGGCUUUCCAAAGUCUGGGCAGGGCCUGGCACAGGGAUUCAGCAGCUAAGAAAGCCAAGAGGAGUUACUGACCAGCUUUUCUCCAGGAUCUCACAUAAACCAGAAGUGCAGCAGCAAUAACCAUCAGGCCAAGCAGGCUCGCAGGAAGCCAAGGAACCAGCCAGUUGCUGGCGGGAGUGAACAAGACUUGAGAACCUGGGAGCAGGGAGAAGAAGGUGGCCAUGAGCACUGAAGAUAAAAUUCGGAAAUGCAUUCUAGCCUGGCACAGAACAGGCAGAAUGACUGAUAUUAGGGGAACCGUCUGGCCUGGGGGAGCCUCAUAGAUGGGCAUGAAGGAUGGCUCAGGGGAUGGCAGCAAGGAUGAUGGUGACACCACGAGUGACCACGUGACUGCUCCCCCCGUGAGGCUCCCCACUCUCCAUGGACUUCAAUAUUUCUCUGCCAGGCUCAGUGGACAGAUGGACUAAUUAGGGUCCAUGCUCAGUCAUGCAGUGGCUGCCAUGAGUCCAGCACUGUGCCAGUCGUGAUGGGAGGUACACAGAGGGUGAGAUCUGACCCCUGCCAGCUUGCUGGGGCUCAAAGCUCUGUUGGAGAACAAAACACACCCUUCAGAGACAGCUUCUUGGGCUCACUCCUCUCUCUGGAGACACUGUUCUCAGCCUCGCAGGAGUAGUUCCCAGCAUCCUGUUCUGACUUCACUGGGAAGAGGAGGGAGGUGGUUCCACCACAGGGAGCUGAGUGGUUCCCCACAAUCUUCUCAUCAAGGUAGAAGGAAUACAGGAUCGGAGGGGAGCCCCUCUGUGCCUCACAGAGGAGCUGCACCAUGUCCCCCACAGCAGGGUCAGCAGGCCCGUGGUGCAGAGUGAGCACAGGACGGGAUACAGGAGCUGGGACACACAUGGGGUGGGAGGCUCAGCCUGACCACCCAGGACCCUGGCUCCCUCCUCUCCUGGGGACCCUUCCCCCAACUCCUUUAGUCCCAGGGGAUCCCACUGCCUGACGCCCAGGGCCCUGGGGGCAUCUCCACUCUCUCGCGCACUUACCCUGCACUCUGACCUCCAGCUGGGGGCUCUGCUUCUGGACCUGGCCACCCUCAGGGGCCACCUCACACCAGUAAAGCCCAGAGUCUCCCUCCUUGGCUCCCGGGAUGCAGAGUUCUGGGUGAGGGCCCCUGUCCUGCAAGGUGUGGCCGUCCUUGUGGAAGGAGAAAAGGAGCCUCAAGGCUGACCUCAGGGGGUGCAGCUUUGUCUGACAUCUCAGGGUCACCAGGCUACCCUCUCGGGGCUCAGGAGAGGGGAUGGCACUCAGCACAGGAGGUGGAAACAGCUCUGGGGAGAUGCAGGCCCAGGACUCAGGAGGGGAGUCCUGGAUGAUGAAGCCCCAGGAGGCUGAGGCCUGAGCUUCUACUCAUCUCAGGCUGCAGCCCGGGGACCCCGAUGGGAGGCAGUUUCAUCCCUAGGACCCGUCCUCUUACCCUCACCCACAAACUCUGAAAUGACUCCCACAUAGCCAGGCCCUUCUGGAAUCUUGGAAGUCAGAGGCAGAGGGGGCCUUCGAAGUCCUCUAGUCCAUAGAGGGGAAGGGUGAGCCUGGACUGGUCCAGGGUCUUCCCAGUGCCCCCUUCCCAAGAAUCUCCCCCCUCCUUCCCCUGGCUACAUGUGUCCCCCAUGGUGGGGAGAGGGGGGUAUUGAGACAACAUCUUGGGAAACCUCGGGGCCCCACACAUUGGCCCAGCAUGAGGGGCAGCCAGAGACAGGGGUCCAGCCCAGAGAGCUACUGACCUCUAGAAACGGGACCCUUGAGCAGCACCUCCUGCCCCACAAACUCCCAAGCUGGUGACUCACCUUGGACUUGAACCAUGGCAGUCUCUGAAGUUUGUGUGAAUGUCUGUGGAAUAUACAUCACCUGCCCAGAGCAGCUGUACUGGCCACGGCUCUGCACUGUUGCUGCUCCCAUGGACAGAGUCUGGUUUUCCUUAGAGAAAUGAAGGAAUUUUCCAUCUCUGUAGAACUUCACCUGAGACAGUGGUGUAUUCUUCCAUCCCUGACAUCGCAGAGUCAGGGCAUCUCCUUCAAACACAGGGUUUGGCCAGGCUUGGAGGUACAGCCAGACUGCGAGACAGAGGAACAGGGCAGCCCUGGAGCUACAGGUCCCAUCAGUCACUUCUCUCCCUCUGUCCCCCAGCCUAAGGCCUCCUGCUGGGGAUGGAGGCCCUUGGAUGGCACUGGUAUGGUGUCACUGUCUCCAGUCCUUCAUGCCGACCAGAGAAGGGCAGGACCUGGACUUCCUUUACUCCUCCUUCCUUUCCUUCUUCUCUCCUUCCUCUUCCCUCUUUCUCUUUAUUCCUUUCCCUUCCCCUCCCCUUCUUUCCUCUCCCUGUGUCUUCUCUCUGGCUUUCCUCCCACCCACCCUCCUUGUCUUCUUUUAUAUUGCACUUUCCUGUCUGCCUUGCCAAGCUUGGCUUAAUUGCAUUCAUUCUGUUCAUUGUCUUGCCUCAUUCCUCCUGACUCAAUUCCCUCCAGCCUAGAUUGGCUUCUCCUCCUGUGGCUACCUAAUGUGACACUUUCUGCAGCCUUCACUUCUGAUAAUAGCAGCAUCUGUGUCCACCAGAAAGCAGCUGGUGGGGCAUGUUGGAGGUGCCACAGCCUGAGUUCUCUCCCUCCUGUCUUCCUCAUUGGGCUUCCUUAGGCCCAGCCUCCAUCUCUACCCUCAGCAGGGCGUUUCAUCUUCCACCACUCUUAUGGAAGGGAUCUGUUCUCUCUGUCUCUAUUCCUAAAAUGUAUUCUGUGCACUGAUGUGAGCAGGAGAAGAGCUCCCAGGGAUCCACCAUCACCUGCAGGGCAGGCUGAGCCUGUCCCCAGUCUGUAUCUGUCCCCAGCCUGUAUCUGUCCCCAGCCUGUAUCAUCUCUUUGAUAAGCCAGACACCCCCAUUCCCAGACAGCCUUCUGAGCAGGCCUGAUGGCCUGAGACUAAUGAGGAGUAACAGUUAGGGAGCCCCAGCACAUCCUGCUCUUGCCUGGAUCUUCUGGAUCCUUAGGACCCACUCUCCUCACCCUGGAAGUAACGAUGCUCACCGCAUUACCGAACAGCAGGUCUUGCUUCCACUACUGCUUUUUCUAACAGCACUAAGUAUUGGUUUGAAUUAUCUCCCCCUGGAAUCACAGAAUAUGUCCUUGGAGGUCAAGAUUUCAUAGAUCAGAAUUUUUUCCUGUUUGACAGAAAGCUCCAUGGAGGUCAGUGUCACAGAAUGGGCUGGAGGGAAGGGGAUCUGAGGAAGGAAGGAAGACUGAUCAGCAGAAAAAGGUGCCUGCUGCUUCUCUGAACAUAAAAGGAAGGAAGGGAGUCCCAGUCUUGUUGAGUUGAGAAUAUAAGAGCUCCAGAACCACUUGAAGAGAAGACAGAGGCCACAGACACUUUUAAGGGUAUAAGAUAGAGGCCUAGAGUCCCACUGCUGAGGCUUGUGUCACCCUAGGACUACCCUUGGCCUUAGACUAGUGGAGUUCCAAGUUCCUCCUUUUCCUAGGAACUGGCCAAGACUCCUGAGGAAGGGGCCUAGUCUGGUGCUGCUCUGCAGAUGUUUCUGGGGGACCCCAUGGCACUGUCCUGUUCCCAUCCAGUAAGUUUUGGCCCAUAGACAUACUUUGAAUUAGAAGAGACAUGGACACAACUUACCAGUUUUCCCAACACAGGGAACUGCAAGAGAACAAAGUAACACAAUUAGGUUAAGUAGCAAAAAGAGCUUUCUGACAAGGAGGCCUGUCACUUCAGCAAUGGGGACUUACACCCAUUCAACCAACCACCCGGCCACCAAACCUCCUAGCCACCCAUCCACACAGCCAUCCAACCAUCCAACCACAUAACCACUCAACCACCAAACAACCCAGCCAUCAGCCAUCCAACCACCCAACCAUCCAACCAUCCAACCACCCAACCACCCAACCACCCGGCCACUUGACUACUCAACGUUUGUGCUGGACGUACUCCCUAGAACUCUUUGCCCUAUCACAGUUCAAAUGUUGCCUUCUCAAACAGGUCUUCCCUGGGACUCCAAUCAAAAGAAUUUUCCCCAAUCACUAAAACAAUGCCCCAUUGUAUUAUCUUCAAAACACUUAUCACUAUUUGAAUUUAUCUUAUUCAUUAAAUUGCCUACAUGUUAUCACCUCUCUCUCUGGCUAGAAUAUAAGCUCCAUAGUAGCAGGGACUCUGCUUAUUUUACUCAUUGCUAUAUUUUCUAUGCCCAAGACCUGUGCCUGGAACAUAGUCUGUGUUCAGUAAGCAUCUGCUGAAUAAAUGCAUGAAUGUUUUCCUUUGCAUCCCAUUGUACGAGGUGGGAAGCAAAAAGUAGAAAACAUAGGACUAGACUCUUGUACGAAUGUGCCUGAGGGUCCUACCUCCAACAUCUACAGGAGAACCCAUAUAGCAAGGGCAGGACCUGAUUCUUGUGGUCCCAUCUCUCCACAGAGCUCUGGCAAAAAGGGUAUGGAAGUGACCAGACUGAGGAGGAUAAGUCCCCUGAAAGAGUAAUCAUUAAAGGAUGUGAGACAUUAUCAGGCAGCAUGGAUGAAUGAGAGAACUACAAACAAACUGGAUGCAUCCCACAUCAUGCUUGCAUCUUGGAUGUGCUACAUUCAUGUUUUUAAAUGAGUGAAUGUGUGAGAACAGGUGACCUGGGAAGAGGGGCCAACUCACAAAAUGAUGACAGAUAUGGUUAGAUAGGUUUGAAUAGCCCAAACAAUGGAAGACCUGAAAUUGAAGGUCAUAGCUGGAUAUGAAGCAGUGAAGAAUCUUCUGGACUUUGGGGCAAGGUGUGAAACAAUGAAUGAAUGUAGGGCUGAGUGCAGUCAGUCCAGCCAAUCCUCAUACAUUUACUUGUGUCCUGCAUUGCUGGCAUGUCCUAGGUAUUUUACAUAACACCAAAAAAAAAAUGCAAGAAUGGCCUUGGGAAGGGUGGGUGAAAACCCUCUAAGAGCAGAUGUUUGGCUCUGUCACAUGGUAUCAUCUUUGCUUUCUACACUACUUUGGACACAGGUGGAAUCUUUCAGCUCAAUUCUCUAUUCAGCUCAGGGUCAGCUCAGUCAUAUGCUCUCAAGAGUGUGCAGAACAAUGAGUCUCUUCUUUAUCAUCCCUCCAUCUCCACCCCUAACCCCCAUCUAUGAGCUCGGUGUAGUGGAAAGCAUGCAGGAUUUGGAAUCAGAUGACCUGGACUUGAGUCAUGAAUUUGCCUCUUUCUGUACGACCUUGAACAAGUUGUCUAAGUUCCAAGAGCCUUCAAUAUCUCAUUCUGUCAUAUCACAUAAUAGAAAUGAUAAUAGUCAUUUUUUUCUUACAGUGUAGUUGUGAAGGUUAUGUUGACCCACUGCCUGGGAAAGUGGUUACUACAUUAACUGAAAGCAGAAAGAAGGCCUGACCUCAGAGUGACAGAGACCUUACUCUGUAGUUAUGUCUUCCUUCCCUUCCCCACCUCACUGGAAAACAAUUGUGCAGCUACAAAGUGCUAAACAAACAGGGUUGAGACUACUGAAGCCAAAAACAAGACAGAAGGCACUCAGGAAGCAUAGAUGCACUUAAAAUGAGCUCCUGUCCCCAAAUCUCAAUGACUUGCUCCCCAUGGUACUGCAAGAUCUUGGAGGUGGGAUUACAAAAUUGGUUUCUGCAAUCAAAACAGCAGCCAACUGGGAACAUACACAGGGGGUGACACCUGCUUACAGCAGUUCCUGCAAUGAGGGCCCAGGGACCUCCAUUAGCUAUAGGCUGAAGAUGAGGUGACAGUAUCAUGAAGUGGCCAAGAGCUAUGGUCAAACCAAGUUGCGUAAUAGAAUUCCGAAAAAUGAAGGCAGGAGCCCCUGCCAACUCUAGGAGCAGGAUAAUUUCCUCUUAAAGUUUCUGAGGGAUCGGGAGAUAUUUAUCUGGGAAAGAUGCAACAGAGGAAAGACACAAAAUACUUGGUGGGCUAAGCUUAAAAGAAGGGGGAGACUUAUUCUGAGUUACUUUAUAGGACAGAAAUGGAAACUAGAGGGAUCAUGGAGGCAGAUUUCGGCUCAACAUGAAGAACUCUCUCACCACUGAGCUCUAGCACUGUGGAACAGGCUGCAGUGCCAAGCUGCAGCAGUCACAUUGCUGGGAGGGCUGUAUGGGACCCCAUGACACCUCCUAUGGACGCUGUGUGAGAAUGCGGGGAGCAGCCUCCAGUGGUAGGAGGGAAGUUGGCUAAUGUUCAGCUCAGAAGAAAAUUAAGCCUAAUUUCCCAAACUUUAAAUACAUAUUUCACAUUCAGCCAGGUCCCCACAUGCUCAAUGUCAGGAUUCCUUUCCUCCCGGAGCCCUGACAGCCAAUAAUAGUAAUAGCCACCAAUUUAUUAUGACCACACCCUGCUCUUGAGAGAGGAAAUAGCAGCUCUACACUUAUGGUAAGAUAAAUGUUGCUACACACCCAGCCCCAGUGUCUGUGUUUUAGGCUGUUUUUCCAGGGUCCCUGAGCAUCAAGUGGGACCAAAUUUGCUGGUGCUGGAUUCUCCAUUACACUGUGCACCAGUCAGCCGGUCACUGAUUCCCUUCCUCUCCUCAUUUGCUGUCUGUCAUCCUCGUCCUGGGUUCCAAGCUGGAACACUCUCAGACUGUAUCUAGACAAGUCCAAGGGCUGUUCCUUUUACAAGGUAGUGCCGGUAGUGCCAUUUGCCCCUGGGAGUCUUCUGCCUGGAGUAUAUCCAGGCAUUAGGCUAUCCUGUCCCCGCCUCAGUGUGAGCAUUAGACCUUUUCAUUUGUCCAAAUGGCCAUUCAUAGAACACACGAGUAGCAUGCUAUGCUGGAGAAGGAACAUUGAGUGGAAGGGGCAUUUUCCUCACAGGGUCAAAUUCUCACAAACUCUGUCCAGGAAGAGGUUAUAUUUAGGAACAGUUUUGCUUUUCUAGUUCAAGGAAUACAAAUAGCAAGCAAGCUAUUGGGACCAAGAAUUAAACAAAAAGUAGGUCCACUUGGAAACUGUAAAGUGAAACAAAAUAUAUGCCAAAUUAUUUCUUUUAGGUAUAAGGGGGGUGACACUGGCUGAGACUGAGCUGGGUCUGGGGGAGCCCAGUGACCCUCUGCGUGCAAUCCUCUACCCUUAGACCAGCUCUCUUAGUUACAAGUAGCCUGCAUGAGAAGAAAUGGAGAGAAGAGAGAGAGAGACAUGGAUCAGACAAUGGAGUUGAUUCUUCAAACCAGCCCCAUGGAUCUGAAACAGCUCCCAACAGAGAGAAGAUGUAGGCGGAAGAGAGACAGUCAAUUUGAAAAGGGCUUUGGUUACUCAGAGCACAGGCCUUUCAACCAGGGCUGCGCUGCCAAGGACCCAGGACUACGGGGUAGGAAACACUGAGGAGUUUCUCCUACCCCAGUGCCCAUCUCUCCCAAGCAUGCCCAGGUGCACACACCUGUCUUGAGCUCCAGCCACAAACCCACUGGAAUUGGGAAAGCUUCAACAAGCCUAUGCCAGGGAACUAGGAUGGAACAUGGUUAUGGGACACCUCCAUUAGAAAGGUCCAGAGACUGCCCGAAUUUGCUUGGCUUCAGCGUCAUUCAGCCUGGGAGACAGCGCAGCACUGUAAAACUAAGAUCAUCUACCCCUUGACCACCGAGUGACCUCCCAGCUUCCAAGGAGCUCCUGUCUCCAGAGAUCUCCUGAGUUGUCUUCAACUUCGUUCAGCUGCAGGUCCUGUGGGUGUGUGGAGUCCCUGCAGGGCAGCAGCUGGGGCAGGAGACAGAGGGGAUAACCGCAAGUGGUCUAGCUUGCAAACAUUUGUGGUUUGCACACAGAACGGAUGAAGCCUCUGCCCUGGCAACUUCUACCGGGUUCUAGCGGCAUGAGAGUGUGAACUGCAUCUGACUUUUCGCACUUCCCCUGCAGAGUGAGAUGCUGUUGCACCUUCAAAGGUGUUGGUGAGCUGAGCCUGAGCUGAGCUGGCUGCAUGUUGUUCCCUUGGGGAUGAAGGUGACCCUCAGGGAACAGCAACAGGGCUGCUGCCCAGGUUUGGAAUCUUCCAGGACUCAGGCUGACCUUGAACUGAGAAUGGGAUGGGUUAGUGGAGAUAUUAAAACCCAUGAUACUAACACUAAUACUCUAAGGGAAUUCAGGGGCUAAAAGGAGGUGGGAUGAAAAUAGAGUGUGGAUCCUCAUCCAGAAGAGGCUCCAGGCCCAGGUGCUCUCAUCACUCAAAGAGUCAGUUGUCAGGGCGGCAGUAGUCAGGGACAAUGGCCUUUGGGGAACAGGAUAAGUCAUUCCAGUUCCGGAGGCGAGACGGGAGAGCAAGAGAGCUUGGGGUAGGGGACAGCUCUGCAUGGUAGGCCCUAGAGCCAAAUAUCUGAGCUUGAAUCCUCACUCUGGAUAUGAAUCUGGUGAGAGACCUUGGGUAAGUUUUUUAACCAGUCUGUGUCUCAGGGUCCUUAUCUCUAAAGUGGAUACAUAAUUACACCUGCAUCAUAGGGUUGCUAUGAAGGUUAAACAAGAUUAAAAACAUAAGAUGCUCUCAGACAGCAAGAUCUAAUAGAACUUUCAGUGAUGAUGAAAUGUUUUCUGGGCUAUCCAGUUCAGUGGCCACAGAGAGCUAUUAAGCACUUGAAAUUGACUCAUGACACAGAGAAACUGAAGUUUUAAUUGUUUUUACUUUAGUUGAAAUUUAAAAAAUUUAAGCAGCUACAUGUGACAAGUGUCUGCCUUCUUGGAUAUUGCAGGCUUAGACCAAUGCCUAGCAAGUAGGAAGUGUUCGGUGAAGGUGAGCUAUUGUAAGCAGUGUGGGUCAGGAAGACUUAAAGACCAGACCCUUCCUCCCAACCUUAGUGUUUUUGGUGAGUCCCAGAAAGAUGAAGUAAUUUGUACAAAGGCACUCAGCCAGAAAGCCUGUUGGGGUUGGAGUCUCAUCCACAGCUGGAACUACAGGCCUAACGAGAAACCUAAGACCAUUUCUGAGUUACAUCUGAAAGACAGAACACAUUGGAGAAACAUAUCAAAAGCCUAGAACUUAGGACAGGAGUGGAAAUGACCAGGAGUAGGGUGAAAAUGGAGCCAGCCUGGGCAUGAAGCUCUGGGUCUGGCCUACAGAGGGCAGAAAACGCUAUGGAGCAUCUGGUCACCACCCUCAUUCCCUCUCUCCAUUCUAACCCCUUCCUUCCAGAAAGCUUCUGGAGAGAGCAUGGCAGCACCAAUGGAAAAAAGCUUCAUUUGUGUCAGAUCUGAGCGACCUCUUGUGGCCACAUGAACCACACUUGCCCUAAGGAGGGAAUCUUUAUUCAUACUGAACUCUUAUUCUCUGUGUACCCACCCAUCCAUCCAUCCAGGUAUUUGUAUUUCUUUUUAGCCCUUGCUGUAUGUCCAGUCCACCCCUGCCUCCAUGAGUUCAGGAAUUGACGGGCCUAUACUGGGGUAUAGUCUUCGUGGUUCCUAAAGCAUUUUCCCCCGUGUCUCCAUUAUUCUAUUUAUCACACUGUGUUAUGUUUAUUUUAGUGUCUCUCUACACUUUUAGCAUAUGACCUCUUCAAAGGCAUCAUCUUUGCGUCUCCAGGCCUAGCACCUAAGUAUAAUUGUUAGGCGUUUUGGAGUCAGAAAAAUAUAGGUUAUAGUCCUGGCUAUGCAGCUUACUAGGCAAGGAACCUGGGGCAGUGACUUAAUCUCACUAAGCUUCAGGUUUUAAAUUUGUAACACAGUAAUAAUGACAUCCAAUUUCUAGUAUUGUGGAGAGAAUUACACUUUUGCACACAUGGUAUCUUGUACAUUUGACCCUCCACCUGAAAUUGGAUUCUUUUCUGACUUCUGAGGAGCCUUAUACCACCAAUGCUAUACUACCCUUUUCUCUCUCAUGAAUUCAGUCCUCCCAGCUCAACCGAAUUUUUUCCAUAGAUGCUUCUGAAAGAUGCUAAGAUCUUAAAAACUCUUCUAACCAAACCAAACCAAGCCAGCAAGCUCACCUUGAUUCCACACCCCCUGGGAGCCCCAAUUCACAGCCACUCUAGUUGAGAAAGUGGUCUAUGGUAGACCUUACAAGUUGGUAUUCCGAGACACAUUGGUGUAUCUCAAAUGGCUAUAGGUGUUAUAAAAUAUUGAUUUCCUUGGCCCUCAGAUCAUCUGUGUGGGGCCACACUUCCAGCUGGGGGCAGCCUUGUGCAGCUGGCCAAUGUCCACUGAGCUAUAAUUUUCUAUAUGUUCCACAAAGCAAAAGGGUUUGGCAAGCACUGGUGUGUGUUAGCUUACUCCUCACUCGUCUUCAACCUAUUCCAAUUUGGCUUCACAUGUGAUUCCUUCACAUCUCUGGUCUAUCCAAUGGACAGGUUUUGUCCUCAUUUUUUUUGGGUGCAUGCUAAUGUCAUUACUGUGGGUUACUCCCUCCAUUUUAAACCACUGUGAAGCAGCUCUCUCCUGGUUUUCCUACUAUCUCUCCCAGUAACACCUUCCCGGGUUCCUCUACAGGCUCAGCCUCCCUCCUCUAGUGGCUAUGAAGAAGUUCUUCAUCCCCUGGCCCCAUGCUCUUUUCUCUUUUCACUUUCCCUUUUAGUGAGAGUGUUUCUCUCCCUGGGAGGGUGCUCAUCUGUGCCAUGGUUUAAAUUGCUACCUCUAAUCCAAUGACUCCCAAAUGUAUCUUUCUAGUCCAAGCCAUAAGCCUGAGUUUCAGAUCUAAGUAUCCGACUGCUUACCUGAGAGCUCCAUGUGGAGGUCUCAGAAGCUCCUUUUACUCAACCUGUCAAGGCUGAACCCAGCCUCUACCUCCCAACUUGGUCCUUUUCUGUUUCCUACAUUAUCCAACAGCACCACUAACCCUGAUUGCGAGUCAGAAACGGCUUGUCAUGACUCUGAUUUUCCCCAAAGUGCAAUAUAAAGCAGCAACAAUGUUGCCAUUCACAUGACCCUUUAAGAUAAUCGAAAUUGUGUAUUUGUGGGCACACAUAUGUGCUUUAUGUUUUUCUUGUUUAUUAUCUCCCGACUGCCUGCCCUCACUGCCAGUCUGGCUAAAUCUUGGUCAUGUCUUAGAUUUAAAAGUUUAUAUAACCCUUCCUGCAGAAACAUUUUCCUGACCACUGUCCCCCACCCAGGCUGAGUUAGGUGCACAUACCUCCCCUGUCUGAGGAUUUAGCACUUACCCCUGGCACUGUAAUUGCCUCUUGUGUGCAUUUCACCAAGAGACUGCAAGCUUUCUGAACGCAAGGGCCUUUUCUGUCUUGCUCUUUGCUGUACCCUCAGUGCCUGGAAGCAGAUGUUCGACACAUAUGUGUGGGAUGGAGACUGCAAUAAGGCAGAAGCCCCCUUCUCCCUGAUCCUGCUCAUGUACAGCAACAGUCAGUGUGUUGGCUGCUAACUGCCUUCUCACCUGCCCUCCUUCAGGUCCUCUUACCCUCUCUUAUUCAUGAAUAAGUAGAUUUUAGGGUAAGGUUACUUUACUAAAGGUGGUUGGUUGACUCUGAAUUAGCUCAGUAUCCAAAUAACUCAGCACCUAUUACUUUCCUUUGUGGCAAUAGGAGAAUGUCAAUUUCUUUACAGGGACAUCAAUUUAAUCCACGCUAUUCCUUUGAAUCAGAACUCCACACUCCCCUCUAUUUCCUUACUUUUAAUUUCAUACAUACCCACUGCAUUCCUCCUCCUCGUAUGUGCCAUCAUAGGCAGCAUGUUAAGUUUUCAGUGUGCUUCAGAUAAAACAUCCUUGAGUGGAAAUCUGUGGUUACCAAAAACAGCUUUAGAAAUUAGGGAAUGGCUCCACAGAAAGAACUGAAAAUGGCUGGAGGCUCAUUCUUGGCUGGAGAUUGAGGAAGAAAUGCAUAUAUAAUUAAAGUGAUAAAUUGGAUUUUUUUUUGGUUCUCUGUUUACCACUGUCAAACAUAAUCUAUUUCAUGCAUUUAUAUAGAAUGCAUAAAAUAGGUCAGAUUUAAUUUUCUUCAGUUUGCUUGUUUUCUCCUCCAGUUCCUUGGGUAGAUGCGGAACCCAGAUGGAAAUGGGAAGACUAUAAAACUUGUGUCUUUAGAGGAGAUAGUGGUAAAGGAUUUAUUGCACUGGACCCUGGGAGUUGGACACUCAUGGGUGAGUGAAAGAGGCACCUAGGAAUGAGCAUGGUGUGUGAAUCAGACAGGCUUGAGUUAGAAUCCUGACUUUGCUGAAUGAGGCUGCAUGGCUUGGAUUCCCUACUCAUUCCUCUUCUCAAAGUAUUCCUUCCUGCACUCAUUCCCUCCAUUCUUUCCCACCAUCAAUUUCUCUCUCCACUGGAUUUUUUCAUCUGUAUACGGACAUGCACAAUAACAUCCAAAGCAAACCAAACCUCUCCUUUGCCUCACUCAUCUUUUUCAGCUUCCUCCCCAUCUUUCUCCUCCCUUCCGUUUGGGCCGGAAGACUCACCCAUACUCACUCUUUCCUCUUCUGCAAUCCCUACUCACUCCCUAAUAGUGGGUGAUCUGGCCUUAGCUCCCACCACUUCACUGAACUGCUUUUGCUAACGACACAAAGGCUCCUGUGUUGCUGGCUCCAACAGGGGAUUCUCUGCCCUCUGCUGACUUGGCCACUCUGCAUUUGAACUGUUGACAUUUCACGUUCCACUCUGAAAUGCUUUUCUGUCUUGGCAUGCAUCACGUCCCCCUCUCCUGAUUCUCCUGCCUCACUGGCCACUCCUUAGUCUGUUUGCUGGAUCAUCCUCUUUCUCCUGACACUAAAUGCAGGGAUGCUCAGAGUUUGCUAUUUACACUGUCUCCCUAUUCUCAUGGCUUGAAAUCAUAUGCUGGCGACACCCAAAUUUAUAUCUCCUGAUCUGGCUCAACCUCUCCCGAGGAUCUUGGACCUGAAUAUGCAAUUGCCCAGCUCUACUCCUCCACUUGGGUGGGUCACAAUCAUCUCGAACUUGACAUGUCCAAAAUAAAACUCUGUCCCUCUCCUCCUUGCUGGGAACGAAUGAACAGAUGCACAGACAAUUCUGGCCAUGGUUCCUGCUCUCAUCCCCACCAGUCUUCUCAGCCAGUAAACAGCACCACCAGUUACUGAAAUCCAAACCUCAGAGUCAUACUUCACACCUAACCGAUUCCCAAGUUCUAUUGAUUCCUCUUCAAAAUAUAUCUCAAAUUCACCUUACUCUCUCCAUCUUUUCUGCCUCCAUUACAAUGGAGUUCCCCAAUGUCCUUUGCCUACAUUACUGUAAAGGCUUGUUAAUUCUUUUCCUGGCCUCUGUUCCUACCCUCCUUUUUUCCAUCUUGCACAGAGCAGACACAAGUAACCCAAUCAGUGUAAACAGAUCAGUGUAAAUACUCCUCUGGCUAAAGCCACCCCCACCUCCAUGUCUCUCCAUUCCACUAAGAAUAAACCAUCCCCUCUUUUAUAGCGCCCUGCAUGCCCAGCCCUGUCUCUCUGGCCUGCCCUGAGGCUAUGCCCCCUCUUACUAUGUUCUGGCUGAUGUUUCAGCUCUGUCAACACAGGGAGCACCUUUCUCUCUUAGGUGCUCUUCUCUCAUUCUCUCUCUCUCUCCCUUUUUUUUUUUAAGACGGAGUCUCACUAUGUUGCCCAGGCUGGAGUGCAGUGGCGCGAUCUGGGCUCACUGCAGCUUCCUCUUCCCGGGUUCAAGCUCCUUCCUCAGCCUCCCGAGUAGUUGCAGUUACAGGCGCCUGCCACCAUGCCCAGCUAAUUUUUGUAUUUUUUGUAGAGACAGGGUUUCACCAUGUUGGCCAAGUUGGUCUUGAACUCCUGACCUCAAGUGAUCCACCCUCCUUGGCCCCCCAAAGCGCUGGGAUUACAGGCGUGACCCACUGCACCUGGCCCACUCUUCCCUUUGUCUCAGAGGCUCUUCCCCUACCCACUACCUCUCUUCCUGCCCUUUCUAAAUAAAUCAACAAAUAAGAUAAUAAAUAAAUAAAUGAAUAUUAUUAAAUAUUCAAAAGCAAAAGGCAUAUGAAAGAACAUAUGAAACAUUCGGGUACUCAUCACCCAGCAGUUUUUAAUUUGAAAAUGUUGCCAUAUUUGCUUCAAGUUUUUGUUUUUCUUAAAGAAAUAAAAUAGCGCAGUAUCAGCUGAAGUCCCAUAUAUAAUCCUCCCCAAUUCUAUUCUUUCUCCCUUCACAUAAGUAACCCCUGAACCUGGUAUUCAUCCCUCCCAAGUGUGUUUCCAUACUUUCACGACAUACACCUGCACUGAUCAACAAUAUAUGGUACUGUUUGGAAUAGUCACAAUUUUAUGUAAAUGGUAUUUCACUGUGGAGGACUCUGCAACUCACCCUUUUCCUCAGCCUUGUUUGUGAGAUGGAUUCACACUGACAUGUGUGGCUCUCAUCAUCUCCACGGUGGAAUAGUAUUUCAUUGAAUAUACAAGUCUGAUUUUAUCUACUCUUCUAAUGAUGGAUAAUGGUGCCAUUUUCGAUUUUUGGCCAUUAUAAACAACGCUGCAAAGAAUAUUUGCACACGUCUCCUUGGGCACAUGUUUGAGAGUUUUUCUAGGGUAAAAUGUUAAAAACAGAAUUUCUGAAUAAUAGAGUAUGUGUCUCUUCAGCUUUACUAGAUAGUGCCAGAUUGCUCUUCAAAGUGGUUGAGCAAAUUUCCACUCCCACGGCAGUGUGGGUAAAUUUACGGAGCUCCACACUCUCACUGACUUAGCUGGUGGUGGGGAGGGGGACAGAGCAGGCACCCAGCAGUUUGCUGAGAUCUAGGGCAGCAGCGGCAGGAGGGGGACUCUGCUCUUCUCUCUCCCAGUUGUCCUGUCCAAUGGUCAAGUGGCUGGUGGUCAGGAUCCCAGAGGCACAUUUAGAGCAGUGUCUGGCACCUGAGUCACUGGGAGAUGGGGUCUUAAUCCUCCUCUCCCCUAAUUCUUUUCUAAAAUUUUAAAGCAAUACAAAACAAAAGCUUCCCUAUCUUGAACUAAAAUGAAAAAGGACCCAAUGUGCUGCAACAAACAUCUAUAUGCUUAACAUCCUAAAUAUACAUGGCUAACAUUUUCACAUAUGCAUUUGCUUCAGAUGUUUUCUUUUUAGGAAAUAAAGCACAUUUCAGUUAAACUUGAAGUUCUCCUUCCUGGUCUUUUCUCUCCUUUCUUGGAGGCAGCUAAGAUUCUGAGUUUGGUAGGUGUCCAGACCAUUUAUUUGUGUAACAUAUGUAUGUAUCAACACACAAUUUAUAGUAUUGUUUGUUUUUAUUCAUAUAAAUAGUAUUUUGUACCUGCAAGUUUCUUUCCUACCCACCCAACACUGUUUCCAAAAUACAUCUGUCUUGAUACUGGUAUCUCUAGUUGAGUGUUUGUCCAUUCUCCUAGCAAUAUAUUUUCAGGUUGUUUUCAGUUUUUGGCUAUUUCAACAAAGCUGUAUAUACACUCCAUGGAGGCAGACAUUUUGCUUUUUGUUAACACUCAAUUUUUAGACCCUAGAAUUGUGGCUGGCAUAUAGUAGGUGCUCAAUACAACACACGUUGCGUUAGUGAAUAAGUGAGGAGCCUCAUACAUGUCGCUAACUUACUCAAAUGUAGAAUUUGUCUGCAAAUAUAUAUAUAUAUGUGUAUAGUGAAGUGGCUGGAUUUUGGGGUGAACUAAUCAACGCAUCACUCUCCAAGGUUACUAUACUGAUUUACAUAUCCUCAGCAGUUUAGGAGUUCCUGUUUCCCCUUAGCCUUGCUAACUUUAGUAUUUUUUGAUUUGGUGUGUGUGAAUGUGUCCGUGUGUGUGGAUGUGUGUGUGUGUGUGGGAGGAGGGUGGUGUAUGUGUGUCCAAUCCUGCUGUAUAUAAAAUCAUAUCUUAUAGUUGUCAUUCUUAUUAUUUGUAGUGUCCUGGUUUCUUUCUGAUUUGCCUCACCUGGGGAUCCCAUUGACUUCCCUUGUGGCCUCCAGGUUAUUAAAGGAGCAGAGGUGGGUUGGGGUGGGUUGAGGGUCCUCUCAGGAGUGUGGCCUGACCCCUGCAUGGGCCUGGAACCCUCCAUGUCUUCCCAGCCUUCCUUUGUCCCUGGAGGAAUUUGAGCACGGUGCCAGGGCAGAUCUGGGACCACAGGAUUGCAGAACAGAAUGUGGAGACCCAGGCUUGUCCCCUCUUCCCAGUCCCAUCUUGGGCUCUGCAGUCCCCUGUGAGGGACAGGAGAGGACUCCCUGGUGCCCGUGCUGGUCUGUGAUUUUCUACGUCUUCAGGUGAACAGUGCUGACCAGGAGAUGCCUGAGUUGCCAGACUCAGCUGCCUUGACUUUUCCAGGACCUGGGGUGUUCCUCUGUGGGGAGCUGUCUUUGCAGUCCCCAGGCCUCCCCUCCUCAGCACACAUCAUGCCCUCUGUUUACAGAAAAAACAUACCACCUGAUCUGUGUGGCUUUUUAGUACCUGACAAAUUGAUCACUAUUUGGAGAAGAGAAGACAGGUUUGAGGGUAAGUGGACAGACGUAGUGACAGAGAAGGGGAGGGAGUAGGGAUGUAACUGAGGCAAAAAUUUUGAAGGCUCAGGACACCCCCUGACCUGGGACAAUAGGGAGAAAUGCUGGACUGAGUUGCAGCACCUGGGGUCGCUGCCUCUGUGGACCUGUGAAUUGGGUCGACUGAGAUAUGGCAACAUUCCAAGAUUUAAAAUGUGAAUGCAGUGAAUCAGGCAGAGCAGUGGGUGUGCAGGAGGCUGUGCCAGCUGCCGUCUGAAAGACAUAUAUUUCUAGCAGGCAGGGAUGACACUCACUUGAGAUCCUUUCCCAUUUGAAAAGCAUUAAAAAAUCAUAACCUGCAGGUCCAGAGGGUGAGCACUCUGACUUAACAACCCUUUUACUUUCUUUUGCAAAGCAUUGAAGUCAUUAACUUCCAGCAAGCAGGAAAAGCAGGUUCUUACUUAACUCUUAUCUUCUGAAAAGCCUUAAAAAUCAGCAGCCGUGAGACCCUGUCUCUCUUUGGCAGUGUUAAAUCAUAAUGCGCCAUAUUGUGGCUAAGUAACGGAGCCAUUCUGUCAGAGUGUAAUUUAAGGAAAAUUGGACCUAGUGACAUGUCCUCCACUCAGAAAACUGUGGUGACUCCACACUGUUUAUCAGAUAUGAUCCAAACCUUUUUGGCAUGAGUUUUUGCUGCCCUUUCACUAUCUUCACCUAACCAUGCAUUUCCUGCUACCCACUGGAUGAGGUUUGUACUUCAUCUAUGCCAGUUGACUCCCCAUAUUAUUUCCUCCCCUCACUGAUACUUAUUUGUCCUAUUCUUCCCUCUGUCUAAGGCUCCCCAUAUGGACUCUGCACCCAACACAUAACAUUGGUAUUUUUAAUAACAUCCAGCAUUUGUGUAUCCCUUAGGCUAUCCAACCUCACUCUCCACAUCUCUUUGAAGGUUCAACUUUUUGAAUUUCACUCCUCUUAUCUCUUUAAUCACUAUCCCAUUGCUUAAGUAUUUAUGCAUUGCAUAUUGGCUAAUUGUAUCCAACUUU